UGACCCAGACGCCACGUCCUCAAGAGUCUCAGACGUGCUCGUUCACUCAGCGACCAUGCUCGCAGCCGCGCCUGGAUGGCCUGGAGUACUGCAUGAAACACAUCUUGGAGGACAAGAACGCACCAUUCAAGCAGUGCAGCUAUGUCUCCACCAAGAAUGGCAAACGCUGCCCCCAACGCAGCACCAAAGGUCGAAAAGAAAGAUGGGGUGACUUUCUGUGCAGAGCAUGCUCAUAGGAAUGCCAUGACCCUCCGAGCUCAC